CUUUGAGUAAGUAUAAUUGGAGGAUGUCUCAGCAAUGCAGAAGAUACUUUUUUCCCCCUUACUUUAGUAGGCUGUAGGCUGUGAGUAGUAAAUAUAUUCAGCCUAAAGCAGAAUGAAUGAAAUCCAUUUUAUAGUGCAUUCUCUUGCAGUGUCUGGGGUGCAGGACUGUGGGGAAAGUGCCUGAGCAUCCUGGCACCCUGGGGAGAAAGCAAACACUCUGGGUGCCUGGUGGCCAAGCAAAGGGCUGCCAGCAUCCCUGCAGAGGUGCUGGUGUGAUACCCUUGAUGAACCUUGCCUGCUUCUUGCAGGAGGAGGGGAUUUACUGGGGGCUGUCUCACCUGGAGCAUAUCUUUCUUCUGCCAUGAGGACAGGGCACCUUUGGCCUGUCCUCCCCAUGGCCCCAGACUCUUUUCCAUUCCUUCCCUUCCCUAACCAGCUUCUUGCCCUUUUUUCAGAGCUGCCUGAGGAUGCAUCACCUCUUGUCUCAGACAUCUCAGGGGUGCUGGGGACCUGCCUUGCUGUGCCUGUGCCACCCUGCUGGGCUCCGGACUUGACACCUCUGUGCCCUCUUCUGGCAGGAUGGCCCAAGCAGGGGCACCUGUCCGCUUCCACCCCGAGGAGAGCUGCACUGCCUCUCCCCCGCCCUUUGCCCACAGGGUGAGCCGGAGGCCCUGGCUGGCGGGGGGAAGCCCCGAGGCUGGGCGGUGCAGCCCCCCGCCCUGCCUCAGCCCCAACCUCAACGCCGGCCGCCUCCACCUGCUGCGCAAGGGCCUGGCGGCCGAUGCCCGCCGCUGCCCGCUUGGCCUCUACAACAGCACCGGCUCCUUGGCCCGCAGGCCGGCUGAGGCGGCGCCCUUUGGCAGUGGGAGCUGCCCAGGCACGGGCCGACUGACUGCCCCCUGCACCCCGCGGUGGGGCCGGCCCAGCCCCGCUGCCGCCUCUCUGGGCAGCCGCAGUCCGCCAGCCCCAGAGGGACACAGCUCUGUGGUCACCUUCCGCUUCAUUGAGAAGGCCAGUGUGCGGACAGUGGGCUGCCCGACAGCCCCCCAUCUCCGCUGGGAGAAUGGCCCCUACAACCUCAGCCGCAGCCUGGAGCUCGGUGGGGACGUGGGAUCCCUCCAGCCCCAGCCCCUGCCUCAGGAGCGGCUCCUGCAGACGCUGAAGCUGGAGGCCUCCACGUCUGAUCCGCUUCUGGCCGGGGGCAGGACUCCAGGGGGGACACGUCCCUGUGGGAAGGAGUUCUGUGCCCUUGACACCAGCUGCCUCUGCCGAUCCCUGACCAAUGGGCUGCCAGAGGAGUUCCCCACCUUCGCCAGGAGUCCCCUGAAGCCAGAGCCCCGACAUCAGGUAGGUACCAGGGUCUCCCACACUGGGCAUGGCUCUGCCCUAGGGAUGCAUUGUCCACUCACUGCUCUCCUCUCUGCAGGGCAGCGCCGGCCUGUAUCCCCGGCAGAGCUCUGCCCAUGCCCAGCGCAUUGCCAAGGCCAAGUGGGAAUUCUUCUACGGCUCCUCAGAUACCCCAAAGACAGGCUCCUCUGCCCCCGACUCCGCUCCCCUGGCUGA
rnacentral:lncRNA from 14 species